CGCUACAAUAGUACUCAAACACCAUGGGUUGUCUGUGUAAAUUUAGGUGUGGUGUAAGUGCCAGAACAGGUAGUACAGCAAUGGGACCAGGAUUGUGGGUUACCUGCCCUGUAGAAGAUGAGACUGGGGAAAUAGGUCAGCACCUGCACUGACUAUAUUCAUAAAUAUGUGAAUGAUCUUGCUUAAGAAACAGAAAGUCCCAAGGACCAAGCCUGGUGGAAAGGUCCAGACACCUGUAGUACGAAGAGAUACAAGAACAUUUUGAAACCAAAACUGGAC